UACGUAGGGUGUAAGCGUUGUCCGGAAUUAUUGGGCGUAAAGAGCUCGUAGGCGGUUUGUCGCGUCUGCUGUGAAAACCCGAGGCUCAACCUCGGGCCUGCAGUGGGUACGGGCAGACUAGAGUGCGGUAGGGGAGAUUGGAAUUCCUGGUGUAGCGGUGGAAUGCGCAGAUAUCAGGAGGAACACCAAUGGCGAAGGCAGAUCUCUGGGCAUUAACUGACGCUGAGGAGCGAAAGCAUGGGGAGCGAACAGG
rnacentral:rRNA from 1 species